UGGGGGAUAUUGCACAAUGGGCGAAAGCCUGAUGCAGCGACGCCGCGUGGGGGAUGAAGGCCUUCGGGUUGUAAACUUCUUUUGCUCUGAACAAGGCGCACCAUGGGGUGUGUUGAGUGUAGGGGUUGAUUAGCGCCGGCUAACUACGUGCCAGCAGCCGCGGUAAUACGUAGGGCGCGAGCGUUGUCCGGAAUUAUUGGGCGUAAAGGGCUUGUAGGUGGCUGGUUGCGUCUGUCGUGAAAGCUCAUGGCUUAACUGUGGGUUUGCGGUGGGUACGGGCUGGCUUGAGUGCAGUAGGGGGGGCUGGAAUUCCUGGUGUAGCGGUGGAAUGCGCAGAUAUCAGGAGGAAUACCGGUGGCGAAGGCGGGUCUCUGGGCUGUUACUGACACUGAGGAGCGAAAGCAUGGGGAGCGAACAGG
rnacentral:rRNA from 1 species